rnacentral:rRNA from 1 species
CUGCGGAGGAUCAUUACCGAGUGCGGGUCCUUUGGGCCCAACCUCCCAUCCGUGUCUAUUAUACCCUGUUGCUUCGGCGGGCCCGCCGCUUGUCGGCCGCCGGGGGGGCGCCUUUGCCCCCCGGGCCCGUGCCCGCCGGAGACCCCAACACGAACACUGUCUGAAAGCGUGCAGUCUGAGUUGAUUGAAUGCAAUCAGUUAAAACUUUCAACAAUGGAUCUCUUGGUUCCGGCAUCGAUGAAGAACGCAGCGAAAUGCGAUAACUAAUGUGAAUUGCAGAAUUCAGUGAAUCAUCGAGUCUUUGAACGCACAUUGCGCCCCCUGGUAUUCCGGGGGGCAUGCCUGUCCGAGCGUCAUUGCUGCCCUCAAGCCCGGCUUGUGUGUUGGGUCGCCGUCCCCCUCUCCGGGGGGACGGGCCCGAAAGGCAGCGGCGGCACCGCGUCCGAUCCUCGAGCGUAUGGGGCUUUGUCACAUGCUCUGUAGGAUUGGCCGGCGCCUGCCGACGUUUUCCAACCAUUUUUUCCAGGUUGACCUCGGAUCAGGUAGGGAUACCCGCUGAACUUAAGCAUAUCAAUAAGCGGAGGAAAAGAAACCAACCGGGAUUGCCUCAGUAACGGCGAGUGAAGCGGCAAGAGCUCAAAUUUGAAAGCUGGCUCCUUCGGAGUCCGCAUUGUAAUUUGCAGAGGAUGCUUUGGGUGCGGCCCCCGUCUAAGUGCCCUGGAACGGGCCGUCAGAGAGGG